rnacentral:rRNA from 1 species
UACAGAGGUCCCAAGCGUUACUGAGAAUCACUGGGUUUAAAGGGUGCGUAGGUGGUCCGUUAAGUCAGUUGUGAAGUCCCCGGGCUCAACCCGGGAACUGCUUCUGAUACUGGCGGACUUGAGGCCAGUAGGGGUCACUAGAACUGACGGUGGAGCGGUGAAAUGCGUAGAUAUCGUCAGGAAUGCCGGUGGUGAAGACGGGUGACUGGGCUGGUUCUGACACUGAGGCACGAAAGCGUGGGGAGCAAACAGG